GCGGGAAUGGCGGAAUUGGUAGACGCGCUAGGUUGAGGGCCUAGUCGGGGCAACCCGGUGGAAGUUCGAGUCUUCUUUCCCGCA
rnacentral:tRNA from 1 species